rnacentral:lncRNA from 1 species
CGGGGAGCCGCGGUACAUCCCAGACCUCGGGACGCGGAGCGGUACCCGCACAACUUCUCGGCACUUCGGGGUGCUGCCCCUACAGCCGCAUCGCACCGCGCUCCCCCCUCCCGACAUCGCCUCACCCCGAAGGCCGCCCCUCCGGGCAUCCUACAGAGCCGCUCCGCCGGGGUUUGCUCUCCUCGGCGCCGCACCGCGCGGUACCGCAGCGCAGCGCCGGGGGCUGACGGCCAACCGCCCCACCUCCCCCGGAGGGCCGCGCUCGGAGCCCGGCGGAGCGGAGAGGAGAGAGGAGAGGAGAGGAAAGGAGGAGAGACGGCGGCGGGGUGAGGGCUGCGGGAGGGAGCACUGCGGGGGAGAGCGGCUCCGCGGCUGCGGAGCUAAAUCCCUCGGCUGUGCGUUCAGCCAACUCUCUCCCUGCGAGCACGGGAGAGUUCAUGAAUGUGCACAAAGGAGAGCAGCGUUUCCCGGGAGGCUGCCGCCACAAUGCGCCCAUUGAGCUGCGCCCGCGGCGCCGCGCUUCUCUACGGGGGGAAAAGUUGGGUGCCAGCGCUGAGCCGCCCCGUCCCCGCGAGCUCGGGGGUGUCGCUGCGUCCGCUUAUACCCCACCUCCCCCAGCAGCUGCUGUCCAACGUGCAGAAGAUGUACGGUGCACCCUGGUGCAGGGUGGCCUUUCUGUUUUGUACUGACCGGGCUUUUCCUGCCUAAAAACGCCGUGUCGUUUGGAGGGAGCCCCGCGGUGCUCAGGGUCUGUCCCAAUGCGCAGCCCUCUCUGGGGCCCUUUUUGUUCCGGGCUCGCUCCAAAGUCACCCAGCAUAAAAAGAGAAAGAAAACAGAGAACCCUGAGAAAACGCAGCCGUGGUGUUGUGUGUCCGAUGGGCAGCCCUCGCUGACCCCCAUCGGUCACCACGUCCCCGAGAUGAGCCGGGCUGUGGGGCAGAGCGCUGAGAUGUGGGGAAGUGUGUUUGGGAAGGUGGGAGCUGCUGGGCUGUGGGUGCUGCCGAGACGCUCAGAGAUGGGGGGAGGACGAGGUGGGGGCAGCGGCCCCUCGGGCACAUCCUGGGCAUCCCGUGCUGCUGUGCACAGACACAGCAGUGUGCAGCUGCGGGGAUCGCGUCGCCUGUUGGGGUUUCGUGCGAUGUGCGGGCAGGUUCCUUUAAAUGGGCUGAGUGCCCUCGUUGUGCUGUGAGGUGGGAUGGGGGAGCUGCGCCUCGGGGAGGGAGGACUGCUGCGAUUCCAACGGCAGAAUAAACAGAGCCGUGGUGCCCACAC